rnacentral:rRNA from 1 species
CUGAUCCAGCCAUGCCGCGUGAGUGAUGAAGGCCUUAGGGUCGUAAAGCUCUUUCGCCAGAGAUGAUAAUGACGGUAGCAGUAGAAGAAACCCCGGCUAACUCCGUGCCAGCAGCCGCGGUAAUACGGAGGGGGUUAGCGUUGUUCGGAAUUACUGGGCGUAAAGCGUACGUAGGCGGAUUAAUAAGUUAGAGGUGAAAUCCCAGGGCUCAACCCUGGAACUGCCUUUAAAACUGUUAGUCUUGAGAUCGAGAGAGGUGAGUGGAAUUCCAAGUGUAGAGGUGAAAUUCGUAGAUAUUUGGAGGAACACCAGUGGCGAAGGCGGCUCACUGGCUCGAUACUGACGCUGAGGUACGAAAGUGUGGGGAGCAAACAGGAUUAGAUACCCUGGUAGUCCACACCGUAAACGAUGAAUGCCAGACGUCAGCAAGCAUGCUUGUUGGUGUCACACCUAACGGAUUAAGCAUUCCGCCUGGGGAGUACGGUCGCAAGAUUAAAACUCAAAGGAAUUGACGGGGGCCCGCACAAGCGGUGGAGCAUGUGGUUUAAUUCGACGCAACGCGCAGAACCUUACCAACCCUUGACAUACUUGUCGCGGAUUCCAGAGAUGGAUUCCUUCAGUUCGGCUGGACAGUGUACAGGUGCUGCAUGGCUGUCGUCAGCUCGUGUCGUGAGAUGUUCGGUUAAGUCCGGCAACGAGCGCAACCCACGUCCUUAGUUACCAGCAUUUAGUUGGGUACCCUAAGGAGACUGCCGGUGAUAAGCCGGAGGAAGGUGUGGACGACGUCAAGUCAUCAUGGCCCUUACGGGUUGGGCUACACACGUGCUACAAUGGCAUCUACAGUGAGUUAAUCUCCAAAAGAUGUCUCAGUUCG